AUGUCUUCCUCCGGUUCCUCCCACCCAAACCUUAACCAGCAGGUCACGGAGAAACUCACCCGCACCAAUUACGUCUUGUGGCGCACCCAGAUCGUGCCGCAGCUGCGAGGUGCUGAUGUCUUCGGUUAUGCCGAUGGCACCACAUCGGAGCCGCCCCGCAUCCUCGUCACCAAGGACAAGGAAGGGAAGGAAUCAUCGGCGCCCAACCCUCUCCACCCCAUCUGGGUCCGAGAGGACCAGCAGGUACUCGGCUACCUGCUGAAUAAUUUGUCCGAAGAAGUGCUUGUGCAGGUGACCGCGAUC
rnacentral:rRNA from 1 species